ACGAUGAAGCCCAGCUUGCUGGGUGGAUUAGUGGCGAACGGGUGAGUAACACGUGAGUAACCUGCCCUUGACUCUGGGAUAAGCGCUGGAAACGGCGUCUAAUACCGGAUACGACCUGCCCCGGCAUCGGGUGCGGGUGGAAAGUUUUUCGGUCAAGGAUGGACUCGCGGCCUAUCAGCUUGUUGGUGAGGUAAUGGCUCACCAAGGCGACGACGGGUAGCCGGCCUGAGAGGGUGACCGGCCACACUGGGACUGAGACACGGCCCAGACUCCUACGGGAGGCAGCAGUGGGGAAUAUUGCACAAUGGGCGAAAGCCUGAUGCAGCAACGCCGCGUGGGGGAUGACGGCCUUCAGGUUGUAAACCUCUUUUUAGUAGGGAAGAAGGACUUCGGUUUGACGGUACCUGCAGAAAAAGCACCGGGCUAACUACGUGCCAGCAGCCGCGGUAAUACGUAGGGUGCAAGCGUUGUCCGGAAUUAUUGGGCGUAAAGAGCUCGUAGGCGGUUUGUCGCGUCUGCUGUGAAAACCCGAGGCUCAACCUCGGGCCUGCAGUGGGUACGGGCAGACUAGAGUGCGGUAGGGGAGAAAUGGAGUUCCUGGUGUAGCGGUGGAAUGCGCAGAUAUCAGGAGGAACACCGAUGGCGAAGGCAGUUCUCUGGGCCGUUACUGACGCUGAGGAGCGAAAGCGUGGGGAGCGAACAGGAUUAGAUACCCUGGUAGUCCACGCCGUAAACGUUGGGAACUAGAUGUGGGGACCUUUCCACGGUCUCCGUGUCGCAGCUAACGCAUUAAGUUCCCCGCCUGGGGAGUACGGCCGCAAGGCUAAAACUCAAAGGAAUUGACGGGGGCCCGCACAAGCGGCGGAGCAUGCGGAUUAAUUCGAUGCAACGCGAAGAACCUUACCAAGGCUUGACAUAUACCGGAAACUUCCAGAAAUGGUUGCCCCGCAAGGUCGGUAUACAGGUGGUGCAUGGUUGUCGUCAGCUCGUGUCGUGAGAUGUUGGGUUAAGUCCCGCAACGAGCGCAACCCUCGUUCUAUGUUGCCAGCACGUCAUGGUGGGAACUCAUAGGAGACUGCCGGGGUCAACUCGGAGGAAGGUGGGGAUGACGUCAAAUCAUCAUGCCCCUUAUGUCUUGGGCUUCACGCAUGCUACAAUGGCCGGUACAAAGGGCUGCGAUACCGUAAGGUGGAGCGAAUCCCAAAAAGCCGGUCUCAGUUCGGAUUGAGGUCUGCAACUCGACCUCAUGAAGUCGGAGUCGCUAGUAAUCGCAGAUCAGC
rnacentral:rRNA from 1 species